rnacentral:rRNA from 1 species
AGUGAACGCUGGCGGUAGGCCUAACACAUGCCAGUCGAACGGCAGCACAGUAAGAGCUUGCUCUUACGGGUGGCGAGUGGCGGACGGGUGAGGAAUACAUCGGAAUCUACUUUUUCGUGGGGGAUAACGUAGGGAAACUUACGCUAAUACCGCAUACGACCUACGGGUGAAAGCAGGGGAUCUUCGGACCUUGCGCGAUUGAAUGCGCCGAUGUCGGAUUAGCUAGUUGGCGGGGUAAAGGCCCACCAAGGCGACGAUCCGUAGCUGGUCUGAGAGGAUGAUCAGCCACACUGGAACUGGGACACGGUCCAGGCUCCUACGGGAGGCAGCAGUGGGGAAUAUUGGACAAUGGGCGCAAGCAUGAUCCAGCCAUACCGCGUGGGUGAAGAAGGCCUUCGGGUUGUAAAGCCCUUUUGUUGGGAAAGAAAAGCAGCAGGUUAAUACCCCGCUGUUCUGACGGUACCCAAAGAAUAAGCACCGGCUAACUUCGUG